GACGAACGCUGGCGGCGUGCUUAACACAUGCAAGUCGAACGGAAAGGCCCUGCUUUUGUGGGGUGCUCGAGUGGCGAACGGGUGAGUAACACGUGAGUAACCUGCCCUUGACUUUGGGAUAACUUCAGGAAACUGGGGCUAAUACCGGAUAGGAGCUCCUGCUGCAUGGUGGGGGUUGGAAAGUUUCGGCGGUUGGGGAUGGACUCGCGGCUUAUCAGCUUGUUGGUGGGGUAGUGGCUUACCAAGGCUUUGACGGGUAGCCGGCCUGAGAGGGUGACCGGCCACAUGGGGACUGAGAUACGGCCCAGACUCCGACGGGAGGCAGCAGUGGGGAAUAUUGCACAAUGGGCGGAAGCCUGAUGCAGCAACGCCGCGUGCGGGAUGACGGCCUUCGGGUUGUAAACCGCUUUCGCCUGUGACGAAGCGUGAGUGACGGUAAUGGGUAAAGAAGCACCGGCUAACUACGUG
rnacentral:rRNA from 1 species